GUAACAGAUUUUUUAUUAUUGUUAUUUUUUAUUUUUUCCCCAGGGAUAGUGUCUUUCGGAUGUAGCAGAAGGCUCAUCAAUGUAGCAAUAUGUUGCUUACCAACCUAAAGUAAUCACACAAGAAAAUUAUUUGUUGUCUUCUUUUCCAUCCAUCUUGGACAGGGAAGCAAGUUAUGAAAUUCCUUUGCAGUUUUGUUUCAGUACUAAUAAAUCAUUUCAAGAGCCAUGUUAAAAGAGAAGCAGUAGAAGCACUGACAUAAUGGAAGCUGCUGGCAUCAAGACCAUCUCAGUGAAAACUUCGGACAGCUUUCCAAUCUGAAUGCAGUGCUGUGAUCCAUCUCGGUCACUGGGGUGACUCAUUCUCUCUCAUUUUAUUGAACGUAACAAUAUACCACAGCCAAUUUCAUGUACAGCAGGACUCUGGCAUACAAUCUGGAAUGCUGAGAAUAAAAGUAGACUUCUUUCUGUUAAUUAUCUGCUGAGGAGAAUUACUUAAAUUUUGUUGAAGCACUGUAUGUUUAAG
ensembl:lncRNA